AUCACCUUUCCUGAUGAGACGCGAAUAGCGAUAGAUGUGUUUUGCACAUCCUACAUCAUACAAUUGCAUCGUCCUCUACUGCUUGUCAAGUAGAAGCGGUAGAGAGAAUGCUGAAUUGCAAUUUCAAUAAUUGGGAAAGAUAAAUCCUUUGUAGACGACUUAAAUACAGAACAGGGUAUUGUAAGCAUGAGAGUAGUCUUGUACUACGAUCUGCUGAGAUUUAGCCCUUGUUCUAUGGAUUUGU
rnacentral:ncRNA from 1 species